rnacentral:rRNA from 1 species
UACGGAGGGGGCUAGCGUUGUUCGGAAUUACUGGGCGUAAAGCGCGCGUAGGCGGCUUUGCAAGUCGGGUGUGAAAUCCCCAGGCUUAACCUGGGAACUGCAUCCGAGACUGCAUUGCUAGAGUAUGGGAGAGGGAAGUGGAAUUUCAGGUGUAGCGGUGAAAUGCGUAGAUAUUCGGAAGAACACCAGUGGCGAAGGCGACUUACUGGACGACUGUUGACGCUGAGGUGCGAAAGCGUGGGGAGCAAACAGG